rnacentral:rRNA from 1 species
AACGAACGCUGGCGGCAGGCCUAACACAUGCAAGUCGAACGAUAUAGUGGCAGACGGGUGAGUAACGCGUGGGAACGUACCUUUCACUACGGAAUAGCUCCGAGAAAUUGGUGGUAAUACCGUAUACGCCCUCAGGGGGAAAGAUUUAUCGGUGAAAGAUCGGCCCGCGUUGGAUUAGCUAGUUGGUGAGGUAACGGCUCACAAAGGCGACGAUCCAUAGCUGGUCUGAGAGGAUGAUCAGCCACACUGGGACUGAGACACGGCCCAGACUCCUACGGGAGGCAGCAGUGGGGAAUCUUGCACAAUGGGCGAAAGCUUGAUGCAGCCAUGCCGCGUGAAUGAUGAAGGCCUUAGGGUUGUAAAAUUCUUUCGUCAGGGAUGAUAAUGACCGUACCUGAAGAAGAAGCCCCGGCUAACUUCGUGCCAGCCGCCGCCGUAACAC